rnacentral:sRNA from 1 species
UGAGCCAGGUGCGGGCGCAGCACAGAGCCGAGGUGGAGCAGAUGCACUGGAGCUACCAGGAGCUCAAGAAGACCAUGGCCCUGUUUCCACACAGCAGCGCCAGCCAUGGAGGCCGCCAGGCCUGCUGACUCCUGCCGAGAAGCUGGGCCACCCCUUAAGCUUCCUGGUUUACUAGAAAUUCCCAACUGUUCCAAAGUGGUGGUACCCGCAGGCCCGACUGCUAGUUGUGUAUGACCACGUCUGCCGGUCCAUGUUUUCAGCACCCAUUGCCUGAAGUGUUAGCACCUUCACUCCGCUUUUUCUAUCAAUAAUUCGCCUCAAGAAUGGAUGACUUUUAUCACUUUUUCUGCAGUGAUUGAGAUGACCACGAUUUUUAUCAUUUAAUAUAUUGAUGUGUUUAACGACCAUAAUUUGCUUUUGUUAAAAAUAAACCUUGAAUUUCUGAGAUAAGUCCAACUUAA